GGUCACCUACGGGACGCAGCAGUGAGGAAUAUUGGUCAAUGGUCGGGAGACUGAACCAGCCAAGCCGCGUGAGGGAUGAAGGUACAGAGUAUCGUAAACCUCUUUUGUCAGGGAACAAAGGCGGGGACGUGUCCCCGGAUGAGUGUACCUGAAGAAAAAGCAUCGGCUAACUCCGAGCCAGCAGCCGCGGUAAUACGGAGGAUGCGAGCGUUAUCCGGAUUUAUUGGGUUUAAAGGGUGCGCAGGCGGUCUGUUAAGUCAGCGGUCAAAGCCCGGGGCUCAAACCCGGCC
rnacentral:rRNA from 1 species